rnacentral:misc_RNA from 1 species
GAUGAAGAACGUAGCGAAAUGCGAUAAGUAAUGUGAAUUGCAGAAUUCAGUGAAUCAUCGAAUCUUUGAACGCACCUUGCACCCUUUGGUAUUCCGAAGGGUAUGCUCGUUUGAGUGUCAUUGUACUCUCACACUUCUAAUUCCUUUCGGGAUUGGGAGCGGUGGACUUGGGUGUAGCUGCUUUAGUUGUGGCUCACCUCAAAUAAGUUAGUGCAACUCUUGGUUGGACAUAGUACGGCGUGAUAAGUGUCUUCGCCGGCGCCUCUGUAAGGAGGGUGGCCGAUCGGGAGCUCUGUGCUUCAAACCGUCUUCGGACAAUCUUUGACAACUUGACCUCAAAUCGAGUAGGACUACCCGCUGAACUUAAGCAUAUCAAUAAGCGGAGGA